rnacentral:lncRNA from 1 species
AGAGUUUUUUGGAUUGUGAAAUAAUAUCCCAAGAGUAUCUGAGAAGAACCUUUUGUGAGGUGGUACUUUCAAACAGUAAAACUAAACUAAACAUUCUUUCCCGGUUGCCUCUGGAUAAAAGGGCUCAGACAGGACAUUUUCCUUCUGGAAAGAUGCUACUUUGCUUUGAAGGCCACGAACUGCUGCUCCCAGCUUUACUUGUGCAAAGCAUCAGUGGAUAAGAACAAGAAGGUCCUUCACUGGGAGGAACAGUUUUGGGGUUUUUUACCAUGAAGGUAAGCCACUCAUUACUACUCAUAGCAACUGCUCACAAAGGAGAGAGAAGUGUUC